rnacentral:rRNA from 1 species
GCAAGCGUUGUUCGGAAUUACUGGGCGUAAAGGGCUCGUAGGCGGCCAACUAAGUCAUACGUGAAAUCCCUCGGCUUAACCGGGGAACUGCGUCUGAUACUGGAUGGCUUGAGUUCGGGAGAGGGAUGCGGAAUUCCAGGUGUAGCGGUGAAAUGCGUAGAUAUCUGGAGGAACACCGGUGGCGAAGGCGGCAUCCUGGACCGAUACUGACGCUGAGGAGCGAAAGCCAGGGGAGCAAACAGG